rnacentral:rRNA from 1 species
AUACGUAGGUGGCGAGCGUUGUCCGGAAUUACUGGGUGUAAAGGGCGUGUAGGCGGGGAUGCAAGUCAGAUGUGAAAUACCGAGGCUUAACCUCGGGGCUGCAUCUGAAACUGUGUUUCUUGAGUGUCGGAGAGGAAAGCGGAAUUCCUGGUGUAGCGGUGAAAUGCGUAGAGAUCAGGAGGAACACCGGUGGCGAAGGCGGCUUUCUGGACGACAACUGACGCUGAGGCGCGAAAGCGUGGGGAGCAAACAGGAUUAGAUACCCUGGUAGUCCACGCCGUAAACGAUGGAUACUAGGUGUAGGAGGUAUCGACCCCUUCUGUGCCGGAGUUAACACAAUAAGUAUCCCACCUGGGGAGUACGGCCGCAAGGCUGAA